rnacentral:misc_RNA from 1 species
UUUGAUUUGACCAAAUCCUAAAAUGAUUGGAAAAGUAUGAUUUCUAAUUAUCUUGUCCUCGAUACAGGUAUGCAUGGGGAAGCAAUUGCAACAGCAACGGUGGAAAAACUUCAGGACACCAUUUUGUCAAUAUCUACAAAAAUGCAAACUAUAACAUACUGGUGGAAGAUCUGGCCGAAAAAUUGAUUCUUCAAGAAAGACGAAUAGGAGAGUUAGAGAGAAAGUGCAAUAUAAGCAAUGAUGUUUUAUCGGAGGAGUAUACAAAUAAGUCAGCAAGUGCAGAGAACUUAGAAAACUAUUAUGAUGCCAAAAGGGUGGAUUCCAAGAUAUCAACAUCAUAAUGUCAAGUUUUACAAUUGGAACAGUUAAGGCGUGCAGUUGACUCUGGAAGGAAUUUGAACGUUGCCUUUUUCGCCUACAUGAAUCGGGAUCAAAAGACUCCAAGCUCUAGGCACACUUUAAUUUUUGAUAUCGUCCGUACCAAUUUAGGAAACCACUACAACAGGUUUUCCGGUAUUUUCACAGCCCAUCAUUCUGGGACAUAUGUUUUUACGUGGACAGCCUACUGCUUUGCUGGAGGACAUACAUCCCUUCAGCUUGUUGUGAACGCUAAUAUUUAUAUUAGUUCGUACUGUAAUGCCAGUGGGGCUCUUUGGCAUAGAUCUGUUUCGGGGACUGUGGUGGCAAAAAUAAAUCAAGGAGAUGUGGUAUUCCUUCGAACACACCCAACUGGUUCAAAUAAAGGGAAUGUCGUUAGCAGCAUAUUUCAUCGAACAGCAUUUGCAGGAUGGUCCCUUUUUUGGAAUUGUAUUUUCAGCACUUGAAAAUUAAAGACUUUAAUACUUU